CUCAUUCAGUGCAAUGAGUCAUGGGCCUGUUUUAGGGCCUCUGGCUUUUGCUACACUAUACUGGAACCUCACUAGGACUCCUCUCAGAUAUGUUGUUGCCCUGUGUCAUGGAGAUGUGACCCUGCAGCUUGUGCAGAUCAUAGAUGGGGUAGAUGCUGGGGUGGGCCAACUCAGAGCCCUGGAUUUGGUCCUGGGAGGUAGCUGAGUUGAUCAGCCUGCCACCUGUAUCUGCACCAUCCGGGUGAACUCUCCAACACUGCUCCAGCUAGUUUACCCAGUGCCACAGCUGGCAAGGGGGAGUGUCAGCUCUCCUGUUCUCAGGUCUUCAGGGACUACCUCAUCCACGCCUUUCACCGGGGCUAGCUCUACUGCUGCCCAGGUGAGUUGCAGGGCCCACUCUACCGGGUGCUGCCAGCUCAAGUGUUUGUUCUGAAACAAACAUGGGCUUUGUUAACACAAACCUUCAUUCUCCAUAUGAACUUCUCUGACCUUAAGUCUGUCUGCCUACCCUUCAAAUUCACUAAGACACCUUUUCCCAUAGGGAAUUGAGAUCCCUAGCCACUCUUAGGCAGCCCACCCUCGGCUAGAUGCUCAUGCAGUGCUGUUGAAGGACCCUCCUUAGAGUUCUGUUUUUGCCCUAGAUUGGCAUGGUCUGUUGUGUUGUGUUUUCCCCACAGAUUUCGACAGUGACUUUAAACU
rnacentral:lncRNA from 1 species